rnacentral:rRNA from 1 species
AGCGGCGGAUGGGUGAGUAACACGUGGGGAACCUGCCCCUAAGUCUGGGAUACCAUUUGGAAACAGGUGCUAAUACCGGAUAAUAAAGCAGAUCGCAUGAUCAGCUUUUGAAAGGCGGCGUAAGCUGUCGCUAAGGGAUGGCCCCGCGGUGCAUUAGCUAGUUGGUAAGGUAACGGCUUACCAAGGCGACGAUGCAUAGCCGAGUUGAGAGACUGAUCGGCCACAUUGGGACUGAGACACGGCCCAAACUCCUACGGGAGGCAGCAGUAGGGAAUCUUCCACAAUGGACGCAAGUCUGAUGGAGCAACGCCGCGUGAGUGAAGAAGGUUUUCGGAUCGUAAAGCUCUGUUGUUGGUGAAGAAGGAUAGAGGUAGUAACUGGCCUUUAUUUGACGGUAAUCAACCAGAAAGUCACGGCUAACUGCGUGCCAGCAGCCGCGGUAAUACGUAGGUGGCAAGCGUUGUCCGGAUUUAUUGGGCGUAAAGCGAGCGCAGGCGGAAAAAUAAGUCUAAUGUGAAAGCCCUCGGCUUAACCGAGGAACUGCAUCGGAAACUGUUUUUCUUGAGUGCAGAAGAGGAGAGUGGAACUCCAUGUGUAGCGGUGGAAUGCGUAGAUAUAUGGAAGAACACCAGUGGCGAAAGGCGGCUCUCUGGUCUGCAACUGACGCUGAGGCUCGAAAGCAUGGGUAGCGAACAGGAUUAGAUACCCUGGUAGUCCAUGCCGUAAACGAUGAGUGCUAAGUGU